GAAGGGAGCUUGCUCCCGGAUGUUAGCGGCGGACGGGUGAGUAACACGUGGGUAACCUGCCUGUAAGACUGGGAUAACUCCGGGAAACCGGAGCUAAUACCGGAUAGUUCCUUGAACCGCAUGGUUCAAGGAUGAAAGACGGUUUCGGCUGUCACUUACAGAUGGACCCGCGGCGCAUUAGCUAGUUGGUGGGGUAAUGGCUCACCAAGGCGACGAUGCGUAGCCGACCUGAGAGGGUGAUCGGCCACACUGGGACUGAGACACGGCCCAGACUCCUACGGGAGGCAGCAGUAGGGAAUCUUCCGCAAUGGACGAAAGUCUGACGGAGCAACGCCGCGUGAGUGAUGAAGGUUUUCGGAUCGUAAAGCUCUGUUGUUAGGGAAGAACAAGUGCGAGAGUAACUGCUCGCACCUUGACGGUACCUAACCAGAAAGCCACGGCUAACUACGUGCCAGCAGCCGCGGUAAUACGUAGGUGGCAAGCGUUGUCCGGAAUUAUUGGGCGUAAAGGGCUCGCAGGCGGUUUCUUAAGUCUGAUGUGAAAGCCCCCGGCUCAACCGGGGAGGGUCAUUGGAAACUGGGAAACUUGAGUGCAGAAGAGGAGAGUGGAAUUCCACGUGUAGCGGUGAAAUGCGUAGAGAUGUGGAGGAACACCAGUGGCGAAGGCGACUCUCUGGUCUGUAACUGACGCUGAGGAGCGAAAGCGUGGGGAGCGAACAGGAUUAGAUACCCUGGUAGUCCACGCCGUAAACGAUGAGUGCUAAGUGUUAGGGGGUUUCCGCCCCUUAGUGCUGCAGCUAACGCAUUAAGCACUCCGCCUGGGGAGUACGGUCGCAAGACUGAAACUCAAAGGAAUUGACGGGGGCCCGCACAAGCGGUGGAGCAUGUGGUUUAAUUCCAAGCAACGCGAAGAACCUUACCAGG
rnacentral:rRNA from 1 species